rnacentral:rRNA from 1 species
UACGAAGGGUGCAAACGUUGCUCGGAAUCAUUGGGCGUAAAGAGCGUGUAGGCGGCUUGUUAAGUCUUGCGUGAAAUCUCGGGGCUCAACCCCGAGCGGUCGUGAGAAACUGGCAGGCUAGAGUGCGGGAGAGGAGAGUGGAAUUCCUGGUGUAGCGGUGAAAUGCGCAGAUAUCAGGAAGAACACCCGUGGCGAAGGCGGCUCUCUGGAACGCAACUGACGCUGAGACGCGAAAGCGUGGGGAGCAAACAGG